AGCUGUCAAGAGUUUCAGGCUUAAAGCAUGAAGAAAUAAAAAAUGCAUCAUUUCUCCACAGGGCAUAGCUAUUCCCAAAAUGUUGGACUAAUGGAUUCAUUCAGGCAGCAAGUUAAUCCAUCAUUUAAGGAAAAUGAAUGCAUUUUAUCCACAAGAAGUCAGAACAUAAAGUGAAGGAAAUAAUUUGCACCUGUCCAACAUUCCUAGUCUGUCAUUGGAUUUGAAAAGAAAUGCUUAUUAAAUAAAUUUUCUA